CAUAAACUUUUUCUUCAAUACGGGCUUUUAGAAAAAAUUAUGCUGUUAUCCCUGCGGUAGCAUUAAUUUAUUCUUAUUAAAAGGCUAGAUAGAAGAAAAAAGAAAAAGAUUUAGUUUUUUACCACCCCAGUAAAACUGAAGUAAAGUUCGACAGGGUCUUGUCGUCCUUCUUAAAAAUUCAAGUCUUUUUACUUGGAUGAUAAUUUAAAAAAACAAAGAAAAUAAAGGAAUUUAUAUGUAAAACCUUUCAUGCUAGCCUUUAAUUAAAAGGCAAAUGAUUAUGCUACCUUAGCACAAAAUAAUUGCGGCUAUUUAAAGAGGUCAUUGAGCAGGUACUACUGAAUGUCAAUUCGUUCAGCAAUGUUUUUGGUAAACAGACAAUAAAUAAUAGCCGAGUUCAUGGUCUUUGUGUGGAAAAAGAGAAAAUCAUAAUUAAUUAAAAAAAAUUAGGAAAUUUUUACUAAUAAAAUCAUUGUGAUACUUUUGAGGGGGGUUUCUUUUAAUAGAAUUUUUUAAAAUUAUAAUUAAAGUUUAAAGACUGGUUGGACACUAUUAAUCCUGAGAUUAGAAAUUAUAUAGGGUGGAAUAAAUUUUUUAAAAAACUUAUCUUUUUUAAAAUUAAAGUAUUAUUACUUUAAAAGAGGACCAGAUAUCAUAGAAUGCGAAUGAAGUUUCAUCGCUAAAAUUGAUUUGGUAGGUUUUUUGAGACAAACCUAACAUAAAAAUGUUAGAUCAUUUCAAUUUCGGGAGGAUCUUUAAUAAGGAGUAAUUAGAUUAGCCCUGAUACAAAAGGUACAAAUUUUUUCUAAAAAACAAAGAUAAUUCUUUCCCCUCACGGUUAAGGAAAAAAAAAGAAAGAUAGAUAAAAAGGAAUACUUUUUUAGAUAAAAAUCUUCAAAUAGAAGU
rnacentral:rRNA from 1 species